UACAGAGGGUGCGAGCGUUAAUCGGAAUUACUGGGCGUAAAGCGUGCGUAGACGGUUAUUUAAGUCGGGUGUGAAAGCCCCGGGCUCAACCUGGGAAUUGCAUUCGAGACUGAAUAGCUAGGGUACGGUAGAGGGAAGCGGAAUUUCCGGUGUAGCGGUGAAAUGCGUAGAUAUUGGGAGGAACACCGGUGGCGAAGGCGGCUACCUGGACCGGUUCUGACGCUGAUGCGCGAAAGCGUGGGUAGCAAACAGG
rnacentral:rRNA from 1 species